rnacentral:rRNA from 1 species
AUUCCAGCUCCAAUAGCGUAUAUUAAAGUUGUUGCAGUUAAAAAGCUCGUAGUUGGAUUUCUGUUCUCGAGGAUCGGUCCGCCUCACGGUGAGCACUGGUUUUUCUUGGGGACAUCCUCUCGAAGGCGGGUGGUGCACUUAAUUGUGUGCUGCUUGGAUUCGGGACCUUUACUUUGAAAAAAUUAGAGUGUUCAAAGCAGGCGUCGGCUUGAAUACAUUAGCAUGGAAUAAUGGAAUAGGACUUUGGUUCUAUUUUGUUGGUUUCGAACACCGGAGUAAUGAUUAACAGGGACAGUCAGGGGCACUCGUAUUCCGCCGAGAGAGGUGAAAUUCUCAGACCAGCGGAAGACGAACCACUGCGAAAGCAUUUGCCAGGGAUAUUUUCAUUA